GACGAACGCUGGCGGCGUGCUUAACACAUGCAAGUCGAACGGAAAGGCCCUGCUUUUGUGGGGUGCUCUAGUGGCGAACGGGUGAGUAACACGUGAGUAACCUGCCCUUGACUUUGGGAUAACUUCAGGAAACUGGGGCUAAUACCGGAUAGGAGCUCCUGCUGCAUGGUGGGGGUUGGAAAGUUUCGGCGGUUGGGGAUGGACUCGCGGCUUAUCAGCUUGUUGGUGGGGUAGUGGCUUACCAAGGCUUUGACGGGUAGCCGGCCUAAGAGGGUGACCGGCCACAUUGGGACUGAGAUACGGCCCAGACUCCUACGGGAGGCAGCAGUGGGGAAUAUUGCACAAUGGGCGGAAGCCUGAUGCAGCAACGCCGCGUGCGGGAUGACGGCCUUCGGGUUGUAAACCGCUUUCGCCUGUGACGAAGCGUGAGUGACGGUAAUGGGUAAAGAAGCACCGGCUAACUACGUG
rnacentral:rRNA from 1 species